rnacentral:rRNA from 1 species
AACGUAGGAGGCUAGCGUUAUCCGGAUUUAUUGGGCGUAAAGCGCGUGCAGGCGGUUUGAUAAGUUGGAUGUGAAAUCUCCCGGCUUAACUGGGAGGGGUCGUUCAAAACUAUCAGACUAGAGAGUGGGAGAGGGAGGUGGAAUUCCGGGUGUAGUGGUGAAAUGCGUAGAUAUCCGGAGGAACACCAGUGGCGAAAGCGGCCUCCUAGACCAUUUCUGACGCUAAGACGCGAAAGCUAGGGUAGCAAACGGGAUUAGAUACCCCCGUAGUCC